rfam:Termitomyces sp. J132 unplaced genomic scaffold scaffold495, whole genome shotgun sequence.
GGCGCUAUAGUGUAGUGGUUAUCACUUGAGAUUCUGAUUAAUCUUCUCAAAACCCAGGUUCGAGCCCUGGUAGCGCCU